rnacentral:lncRNA from 1 species
AAAAAAUGUAGAAGUAUUUGUAAUCAAGACAUUUGUUCAUUUAAUUUGUUUAGAUAAUAACACAAAUCGAAACACUUAGAGGUAUAAAUGUUUUCUACGCAUGAGUGUUAGUGAAUGAAUUGUUAAUGAUAUAUUUUUGAUAAUUUUCAGAAUAUGGAAGUAGAAGGAGUGAUGAGAUCGACGACUCAAGAUUCGGAAAAUGAGGCAAAAUUGACGGAUAAAAAAAGUAUAAUUGUAUAAGAUCACCGAAUAUGAUGUGACCAGCUAUACAUAGUAGGCAUGGUAGAAGAAGAUGGCAAAGCAUUUCACUCAUAAACAUGUGAUUCUCUGAGAAUUGGACUUGAUACUAUAAGCAAAAUGUCUAUCGUAUUUGGUGUUGUACUGGCCUGACCAGUGAGUGUAACCAAGACGACUGGGUUUCGGUAAAGAUAAAACAAUCAGGAGCUGACUUUUAUUUCACUACCAAUCCAAAUGGUGAAAAACUGAAAAUACAAAUAUAAAUACGAUUUUACAAUGUGUUCAAUGAUAAUUAAAGUCCGUUAAAAAUACGGAUAAACAGUUCGUAGAUAUAUAAAGCUGUUAAAGUUCUUUAUAAUAAUAAAAAUAUGAAUAUUCUU